UCGUUUCUUUUCUCCCAAAGCUGC
rnacentral:siRNA from 1 species